AACGAACGCUGGCGGCAGGCCUAACACAUGCAAGUCGAGCGCCCUUUCGGGGGAGCGGCGGACGGGUGAGUAACGCGUGGGAAUAUGCCCUUCUCUACGGAAUAGCCUCGGGAAACUGAGAGUAAUACCGUAUACGCCCUGUGGGGGAAAGAUUUAUCGGGGAAGGAUUAGCCCGCGUUGGAUUAGGUAGUUGGUGGGGUAAUGGCCUACCAAGCCGACGAUCCAUAGCUGGUUUGAGAGGAUGAUCAGCCACACUGGGACUGAGACACGGCCCAGACUCCUACGGGAGGCAGCAGUGGGGAAUCUUAGACAAUGGGGGCAACCCUGAGCUAGCCAUGCCGCGUGAGUGAUGAAGGCCUUAGGGUUGUAAAGCUCUUUCAGCUGGGAAGAUAAUGACGGUACCAGCAGAAGAAGCCCCGGCUAACUCCG
rnacentral:rRNA from 1 species